AGUGAAUAGAUACCCUGGUAGUCCUAGCCGUAAACGAUACUCGCUAGGUGUCGGCCACGGUGCGACCGUUGUCGGUGCCGUAGGGAAAGCCGUGAAGCGAGCCACCUGGGAAGUACGGCCGCAAGGCUGAAACUUAAAGGAAUUGGCGGGGGGAGCACCACAACGGGUGGAGCUUGCGGUUUAAAUUGGAUUCAACGCCGGAAAUCUUACCGGGACCGACAGCAAUAUGAAGGCCAGGCUGAAGACUUUGCCGGAUUAGCUGAGAGGUGGUGCAUGGCCGUCGUCAGUUCGUACUGUGAAGCAUCCUGUUAAGUCAGGCAACGAGCGAGACCCACGCCCACAGUUGCCAGCGUACUCUCCGGAGUGACGGGCACACUGUGGGGACCGCCGCUGCUAAAGCGGAGGAAGGAAUGGGCAACGGUAGGUCAGUAUGCCCCGAAUAUCCCGGGCUACACGCGAGCUACAAUGGUUGGUACAAUGGGUAUCUACCCCGAAAGGGGAUGGUAAUCUCCUAAAGCCAAUCUUAGUUCGGAUUGAGGGCUGCAACUCGCCC
rnacentral:rRNA from 1 species